UAGAUUGAAGCCAGUUGUUUCGGGCGUUUAGCUGUUAACUAAGUUUUUGYAGGUU
rnacentral:tRNA from 1 species